rnacentral:rRNA from 1 species
AGCGAACGCUGGCGGCAGGCCUAACACAUGCAAGUCGAACGAAAACUUCGGAGUUAGUGGCGGACGGGGGCGUAAGACGGGGGAACGUACCUUUAGGUUCGGAAUCACUGAGGGUAACUUGUGCUAAUACCGACUGUGCCCGUAGGGGGAAAGAGUUAUCGCCUUUAGGGGGGCCCGGAUCCGAUUAGGCAGUUGGGGCGGUAAAGGCUCACCAAGGCGAUGUCCGGUAGCUGGUCUGAGAGGAUGAUCCGGCACACUGGGACGGGGACACGGCCCAAACUCCUACGCAAAGCGGCAGUGGGUAAUCUAGCGCAAUGGCCGAAAGCCUGACGCAGCCAUGCCGCGUGAAUGAUUAUGGUCGUAGGAUUGUAAAUUUCUUUCACCGGGGGCGAUAAUGACGGUACCCUGAGAAGAAGCCCCGGCUAACUACGUG